rnacentral:rRNA from 1 species
GACGAACGCUGGCGGCGUGCUUAACACAUGCAAGUCGAACGGAAAGGCCCUUCGGGGUACUCGAGUGGCGAACGGGUGAGUAACACGUGGGUGAUCUGCCCUGCACUCUGGGAUAAGCCUGGGAAACUGGGUCUAAUACCGGAUAGGACCACACACUUCAUGGUGAGUGGUGCA